rnacentral:misc_RNA from 1 species
GGACAGGUGAGUCAUCGAAUCUUUGAACGCACAUUGCGCCCCCUGGUAUUCCGGGGGGCAUGCCUGUCCGAGCGUCAUUACUGCCCUCAAGCGCGGCUUGUGUGUUGGGCCCUCGUCCCCCCCGGGGGACGUGCCCGAAAGGCAGUGGCGGCGCCGUGCCCGGACCUCGAGCGUAUGGGGCUUUGUCACCCGCUCUGGAGGCCCGGCCGGCGGCCGUCGGACCACCCCAACCUUUUUAACCGGUUGACCUCGGAUCAGGCAGGGAUACCCGCUGAACUUAAGCAUAUCAAUAAGCGGAGG